CAUAUAUAGUUUAAAUAUAGUAUUUUAUAUUCAUAAAAACUCUUUGAUUUCACUGAACAAAAAAAAACCCACUUACUCUUUAUUUGACUGGAUUGAAAUUUCAUUUAUCAUUGACAUUUCUUUCAGUGUUCAAAAAUAAACAAUAAACUGCACGUUUUAGAGUGAUACACUAAUCGCUUUUGUUUUAUAGUUUUGUUUUUAUUUUCCCAGACAUUUUUGCACUGAAUCACCACUUGAUUAUUUUAUUAAACAUGUUCUUAAAAGCAUUUUUAGCAUGCCCAUACAAAUGUUAAGUCCACUUGCCUCUGACCUGAAUUUCAGAAGCCCACAAGGUAUAACACAUCCCAAACAAAUUGGCGAUUUCAAGUAAAUGGAGUUUCACCUGACUUUCCGUUAUGGGGGGAAGACUAAUUAAUCAAUAAAAUUUCUUUUGUAACAAUUUUCAAAAAAGUUGACUAUACUCUGCCUAAUUGACUAGAGGCUUUAUUUAAUUUUAUACAAUUCAAUUACCAUUGUAAAUAAGGGGAAGACUUGAUAAAAAGUAGAACUAUCCUGUAUUUAUUUUAUUUAUUUAUUUUUUUAAACAAUCUUAUAAUUGUUCAAUUUUAUGGUUCUAAACAAUAUUUUCCUUGGUUUUGCUAACCUUGGAUAAUCGGAGUUCUACUACGUCUUCAAUGAGUUACGUAUUCUCUAAUUUUUAUUUCAAAGCAGACUUGACAAGUGACUCGUAAAUUUGAUCAAUUUCCUCUUCAUAGAAUACAUUGCUUGAAAUUUUAUUUUGACUGGGGUAAAAAUUUGCGAGCCACUGUUUGUUAUUUCCCAUAUUAUUAUUAUGUUUAUUUUAAUUAUUUUGUCAAGAGUAGUUUUAGUUUAUAAAAUUUUCCAAGGAUAAGAGAUUAAAUUUGUUCAUUGAAGCACUCCUCCAAUUAUCCAUGUAUGAAAUGUAAUAUUGUAAAAACCUCCUGAGGAGCAAUUUAGCAUUUCUAGUUGUUUGGAGCCCUUUAAACAGAGGACUUUCUCUCAAUUCUAAUUAUUUAUUUUUUGUUUUACCUUGAAAUUAUGACCAUAUCUUAAUUAAAUGCCCCAUUGUAGAUUGUGAAUCAUUCAUCUAUCCUCACCUAAACGAAAAUUAUUGUUUAACCAAUUAUGGAAAUGCUUGAAAUCAAGCUGAUAUGUGUUAACCGACCAAAACGCCAAAUGUCUAAAAGUUAAGUUUGUUAAGCCCUAUUUAUUUUGAUUUAUCAGCAUAAAUGUUUUUGAAAACCCAUAGAAGUUCCAGCCCAGGUAAAACUAUUUUUAAAUUUACAAAAACAAAUUCCAAAAUUUUCUAAAAGGUAGAAGAAAAUACCUUUUAGCCCAGGUAAACCAUCCUCCCAGGGGAAAUAGUCCAGCAGCCCAGUAUUUCAAGCCCAAAGAGGAAUAAGGUAAAAACAAAAGUUCCAGAAAUAUUUGAACAAAUAAAUUUAAAAAAAAAAACCAUCAAUCAUUGUCCAGACCCGAAGCCCUCCAAGCCUUGAAGAUGUCAUCCAAAAGGUAAUUCACUGAAUAGCCUUUAAAACGGUUCCUACCACCGAAACUGUAGGUAUCAUGUAUUAUUUUAAUUGCACCCUUAUUCAGACAAGCAAACUUCGCUUACUGAAUUACUAAGGGGGUUUGAGUGGACAAGUAUACAAUAGAAAUUGGGAAUCCAAUCGAGAUAUUCCUCAAAAAAUUUGCAUUUAGGCCAGAUGAAACCUUGAAACUCAUGGCUUCUGCUCUGCUCUUGCUCUCAUGCAAGUCCAAAUGUUUAGUCUACAAUUUGGACCCUUUAAAAAAAAAUAAAAAUUUUAAAAACUACUGCCUGCUUUUCAACUAAACCAUUUGCAUUGUUCUACCUAUCGGUGGUCGUAUUAAUACUUUUAUCCCCUUAUGUUCUGCGAAUAAAAUCAAUUCUUGGUUUCUUAUCUUUAUUACCCUCGUUCCCCCUUGCUCUGAAAGCGCUUAACGAUCAAUUUAUUAUUGCUGCAUCAGUAGAAUGAUAAGUUUUGUUUUAUCACGAUUUAUACCGGCUAGGAAAACUUCCUUUUGUUUAUCUUUUUAUGUUAUGUGGUCUGAUUGAGUUGUUCAGUGCAGUCAAAUAAUUAUUCAAAAUUUAAUUGCGAAUUUGUAGUCAAACAUUUAUUAUUUUUAAAUAUAUUUAGAUGUUCUACAUUUAUAAAACAUCUGUUUAGGCUGCUUAGUAUCAAAAGAUUUUGCAUUCAAUGAAAUCCUUACGAGGAUUAAACAUAUUUUAAUUAUGUAUUUUAACAUAUUAACAUUGAAAUAAUUUUCAUAUAUUGUAUUUUUUCAAAUUAAAUAAAAUCUGUAUGUUGUCUAAAAAGUGCUUGUUAAAAUAAUACAGGUUGUGCAUAUCACGUUUGGCCCUUAAUGGCUUAUUUUUUUCAAACAAGCUUUUCAAUUGUCAUUCGGUACAUGCUGUAUUUUUGCCACUACCAUUUAUACCCUGCCCCCUUCUAGGGUGAUUCUAAAGCCUUGCUGACUACCUCGCUUAUCAAUUUAUUGAUUAAUAUCAAGUUAAUUUUAAUAUGGUGUUAAGUGCAUGGACAAGGAAAAUGGCAAAAAAAAGAACACGAUAUGAUUUUAUAACUUGUGUUCCAAAGGAAUUUUUAGAGGUCUUCUAAAAAAUGUAUUUUUGAGUUGAAUUCAAAUAAUUAGUUAUUUAUUGUAGUAGAGCCUUAAUUUUUAUAUCAGGUCAUCAAUGUUUUCAUGUUUUUGCAGAUUUUCUUCAAGCAGUUUCAGAUUUUGUAGGCACUUCAUUCGGAUUAGAAAAAUCAGUUAUAAUAUAGAGAAAGGAAACAUGAGGACAGCUUUCUGUUUAGUAAAACAUUUGUCAUUGUUGUAUAGCAGGACAAUUUUAGUAAGGCAAUAAAAAAAUUAAAAAAAUACAUUUGUAUAAAAAAAAGUAGGCUGUUUUGGUGGAGCAAUGCAUUUUUCAGACGUUUGAGAUGGCGUUUGCAGGCAGUUUUUUCAGGCUCUUGCGGCCCACUGAGCAGAAGGGCCGAGCGGAAGCAGUAAAAUUUGUAAUUUUGAGGGAAGUGAGUUUUUCAAAAGUGGUGAAUUUAUGGAGCAAACUGGGUAAAAAAUAAAUAAACAGAAAAAAAAUAAUAUUCCAUGGUGUAAGCAAACAGGAAGAAAAAUUUGGUGGAGGGCAACAGUAGAUAUCUAACAUCUGGAAUUAAUUGACAUACUAAAUUAUUUAUUCUUAAAGAUGUAUAAAGAGGGUUACGAUAAGCUUAAACUUACAUGCAUGCAAUAUAGUUGUUCUAUUAUAAGGUAAGUGUCUGUGUAUAAUAGAAAUGUACAGGUGAUAAAAGUCAUACAGAAUUGAUUAAAUAAACUGAAUAUUUGACUUACAGGUUUUUUUUGAACGAAUCAUUUAAUUUCUAUUGAUAAAGAAACUUUCAUAACAUGAGAGGUGAUCUGACAAUUUAAAAAAAGUAUUACUGAUUGUACAUUUCACUAAUGUUUAGAUACUGAAACAAAAAGUUAUGAACAUUUGGAUAACUAGCAGAACCAAAAGCUAAUGAAUAAUUAAACUGAUCUUACGAUCACGUCAACAGCAGUAUAUUUGAUUAAAUAAAAGUAAUUUUUAAAAUAUGAGGGGAAAUAAGUUAUCAAGUUCUGUUUUUGGUGGGUAUUUCCUUCAAGUGCAAUUAUGAUAUUUAUUUGGGGUACCAGGUAAAUCGGUUAAAAACUCAGUUUUAUUCCCAUCACAUGAAAGUAUGAAAAGAUUCUUCUUAAAAGAAUGUUACCAAAAAUCAAACUUAUCUAACCUUCCUUCUACCAGAUUAGUUCAGCGUUUAUUUACCACAGUCCAACAAGUGUAGCAUUGGGACUCCUGCACAAAUAGAUGUCCUUCCAAAUAUUCCUCUACCCUUGUCUGUCAGAACAGUUCAUGAGGUACUGGCGAGGAUCAUCUUGGCCCUAGAAAUAUUACAAGGCUUAUUUAGAUCAACAUUUCAUAUCGCAAAUCGCUUCACCAAUGGCAGAGCAUCCUCUGGCCCCUUUAACUUAUUUUGGAGGAUGUGCAGAGACAUAUCUCAUAUAUAGCAGAUUGGUAUUGACAAUGGAAAAUGAAGCCCAAUAAAAGCAAGUAUGUCCAUGUUACAUACUUUGAAGCAAAUCUACAACAAUGUUCUACCCCUUAGAGUAGUUCUAAUCAGCAUACAUGACAAACAAAAAGGCUUAAAUAGACAUAGAGUAUGUAACUAGGGAACCCCUUUACCCAGCAGUCUUUGGUUUCAUUCCCACUAUCGUCUCUAAAUUUUCUGACCUGUAAGUGAAGCAAAAAGUUGACACUUGGCCAUCGAAUCUCGACGCCCCUGAAUCAAAACGGGUUUCUCAAGGAAGAAUACAGUCUCUGAAAUACAUCUAGGAAGUGGAUACAAUAAGCAUGGUACAGGCUGCAGUACCCCAGGGUUCCACUUCCGAUUUCUAGAAAUCUAUUCCC